rnacentral:rRNA from 1 species
AUUGACUUUAUGCUUGCAUAAAUGAUUUUUGGAUUCGGAGCGAGUGGCGAACUGGUGAGUAACACGUGGGUAACCUGCCCCGAAGCGGGGGAUAACAUUUGGAAACAAGUGCUAAUACCGCAUAAUUAGUUGGAACCGCAUGGUUCCAACUUGAAAGAUGGCUCUGCUAUCACUUUGGGAUGGACCCGCGCCGUAUUAGUUAGUUGGUGAGAUAAAAGCCCACCAAGACGAUGAUACGUAGCCGACCUGAGAGGGUAAUCGGCCACAUUGGGACUGAGACACGGCCCAGACUCCUACGGGAGGCAGCAGUAGGGAAUCUUCCACAAUGGACGAAAGUCUGAUGGAGCAACGCCGCGUGAGUGAUGAAGGUUUUCGGAUCGUAAAACUCUGUUGUUAAAGAAGAACAAGUGUUAGAGUAACUGUUAACACUUUGACGGUAUUUAACCAGAAAGCCACGGCUAACUACGUGCCAGCAGCCGCGGUAAUACGUAGGUGGCAAGCGUUGUCCGGAUUUAUUGGGCGUAAAGCGAGCGCAGGCGGUUUUGUAAGUCUGCUGUGAAAGCCCUCAGCUCAACUGAGGAAGUGCAGUGGAAACUACAAAACUUGAGUACAGAAGAGGAAAGUGGAACUCCAUGUGUAGCGGUGAAAUGCGUAGAUAUAUGGAAGAACACCAGUGGCGAAGGCGGCUUUCUGGUCUGUUACUGACGCUGAGGCUCGAAAGCAUGGGUAGCGAACAGGAUUAGAUACCCUGGUAGUCCAUGCCGUAAACGAUGAAUACUAGGUGUUGGAGGGUUUCCGCCCUUCAGUGCCGCAGCUAACGCAUUAAGUAUUCCGCCUGGGGAGUACGACCGCAAGGUUGAAACUCAAAGGAAUUGACGGGGGCCCGCACAAGUGGUGGAGCAUGUGGUUUAAUUCGAUGCUACGCGAAGAACCUUACCAGCUCUUGACAUCUUCUGCCAACCCAAGAGAUUGGGCGUUCCCUUCGGGGACAGAAUGACAGGUGGUGCAUGGUUGUCGUCAGCUCGUGUCGUGAGAUGUUGGGUUAAGUCCCGCAACGAGCGCAACCCUUAUUAUUAGUUGCCAGCAUUUAGUUGGGCACUCUAAUGAGACUGCCGGUGAUAAA